AUUGAACGCUGGCGGCAGGCCUAACACAUGCAAGUCGAACGAGUGGCGGACGGGUGAGUAAUGUCUGGGAAACUGCCCGAUGGAGGGGGAUAACUCCUGGAAAAGGUAGCUAAUACCGCAUACCAUCGGAUGUGCCCACAUGGGAUUAUCUAGGAGGUGGGGUAACGGCUCACCUAGGCGACGAUCCCUAGAUGGUCUGAGAGGAUGACCAGCAAACAUGGCACUGAGACACGGUCCAGACUCCUACGGGAGGAAGCAGUGGGGAAUAUUGGACAAUUGGCUCAAGCCUGAUGCAGCCAUGCCGAGUGUAUGAAGAAGGCAUUAGGGUUGUAAAGUACUGUCGGAGAGGAGGCGUUACUCGCAGAAGAAGCACCGGCUAACUCCGUGCCAGCAGCCGCGGUAAUAC
rnacentral:rRNA from 1 species